GAGUUUGAUCCUGGCUCAGGACGAACGCUGGCGGCGUGCCUAAUGCAUGCAAGUCGCACGCACUCGCUUCGGCGGGUGAGUGGCGCACGGCUGAGUAACACGUGGGAACCCGCCCCCCGGUGGGGGAUAACGCGACGAAAGUCGCGCUAAUCCCGCAUACGUCCGCAGGGGGAAAGCGCUUCGGCGCGCCGGGGGAGGGGCCUGCGGCCCAUCAGGUCGUUGGUGGGGUAACGGCCUACCAAGCCGAUGACGGGUAGCUGGUCUGGGAGGAUGACCAGCCAGACUGGGACUGAGACACGGCCCAGACUCCUACGGGAGGCAGCAGCAAGGAAUUUUCGGCAAUGGGCGCAAGCCUGACCGAGCAACGCCGCGUGCGGGAUGACGGCCUUCGGGUUGUAAACCGCUUUUCGGGGGGACGAUGAUGACGGUACCCCCGGAACAAGCCCCGGCUAACUCUGUGCCAGCAGCCGCGGUAAGACAGAGGGGGCGAGCGUUGUCCGGAGUCACUGGGCGUAAAGCGCGCGCAGGCGGUCGCCAAAGUGUCGUGUGAAAGCCCCCGGCUCAACCGGGGGAGGCCAUGGCAAACUCGGCGACUGGAGCGGCGGAGAGGCCCCUCGAAUUGCCGGUGUAGCGGUGAAAUGCGUAGAGAUCGGCAGGAAGACCAAGGGGGAAGCCAGGGGGCUGGCCGCUGGCUGACGCUGAGGCGCGACAGCGUGGGGAGCGAACCGGAUUAGAUACCCGGGUAGUCCACGCCGUAAACAAUGACCACUCGGCGUGCGGCGACUAUUGACGUCGCGGUGCGCCUUAGCUCACGCGCUAAGUGGUCCGCCUGGGAACUACGAGCGCAAGCUUUAAACUCAAAGGAAUUGACGGGGG
rnacentral:rRNA from 1 species